rnacentral:rRNA from 1 species
UAGGUGUCGCGAUAGCCAUGAGUAUCGCGGUGCCGGAGGGAAGCCGUUUAAGCCCCGCCGCCUGGGAAGUACGGCCGCAAGGCUGAAACUUAAAGGAAUUGGCGAGGGAGCACUACAACGGGUGGAGCCUGCGGUUUAAUUGGAUUCAACGCCGGGAAGCUUACCGGGGGNGACAGCGGGAUGAAGGUCGGGCUGAAGACCCUACCAGACUAGCUGAGAGGUGGUGCAUGGCCGCCGNNAGUUCGUACUGUGAAGCAUCCUGUUAAGUCAGGCAACGAGCGGGACCCGCGCCCUCAGUUGCCAGCGGAUCGCUUUUGCGAUGCCGGGCACACUGGGGGGACUGCCGGCGCUAAGCCGGAGGAAGGUGCGGGCAACGGCAGGUCCGUAUGCCCCGAAUCCCCCGGGCUACACGCGGGCUACAAUGGCCGGGACAAUGGGUACCGACCCCGAAAGGGGUAGGUAAUCUCCUAAACCCGGUCUAACCUGGGAUCGAGGGCUGCAACUCGCCCUCGUGAACCUGGAAUCCGUAGUAAUCGCGCCUUCAAAAUGGCGCGGGA